UGGUGAUGAUGCCUCAAUUCACGAUGGUCUGCUUAGCCCUUCCUUUCACAGAGAGCGAGGGCUGCUGAAAAUGCCAUUCUGGCCAUUGCUGAGCCAUGGCC
ensembl:snoRNA